CUGACAGAACUGUGGGGACGCAGAAGGAGAGCACUACCUGGAAUGGAAUCCAGGGGCAAGCACAGGAGGGGUACGGCUGGAAAAACCGCCGUGCAACCCAAAGGUGUGACGCAUACCGAACUAAAGUAGGGAAAUGUGCGAGCCGGCUGCCGAGAAAAGCCGCUAUUGUUUGUACUGUACCCGUACCGUAAACCGACACAGGUGGAUGAGGAGAGAAUCCUAAGGCCGACGGAAGAAGCAUUGCUAAGGAACUCGGCAAAAUGACCCUGUAACUUCGGGAGAAAGGGUGCCUCGAAAGAGGCCGCAGAGAAUAGGCCCAAGCAACUGUUUAGCAAAAACACAGGUCUAUGCAAAACCGCAAGGUGAAGUAUAUGGGCUGACGCCUGCCCGGUGCUGGAAGGUUAAGGGGAGAUGUCAGGAGACGAAGCAUCGAACUUAAGCCCCAGUAAACGGCGGCCGUAACAAUAACGGUCCUAAGGUAGCGAAAUUCCUUGUCGGGUAAGUUCCGACCCGCACGAAAGGCGUAAUGAUUUGGGCGCUGUCUCGGCAAUGCAUCCGGUGAAAUUGAAGUGCCAGUGAAGAUGCUGGCUACCCGCGCCAGGACGGAAAGACCCCAUGGAGCUUUACUCCAGCUUGAUACUGGGAUUCGGUAUUGUAUGUACAGGAUAGGUGGGAGGCUGAGAAAUGGUGACGCCAGUCGCCAUGGAGCCGCUGUUGGGAUACCACCCUUGCAGUACUGGAUUUCUAACCAGCAGCCGUGAUCCGGCUGGGGGACAAUGUCAGGUGGGGAGUUUGACUGGGGCGGUCGCCUCCGAAAGGGUAUCGGAGGCGCUCAAAGGUUCCCUCAGAAUGGUCGGAAACCAUUCGAAGAGUGCAAAGGCAGAAGGGAGCUUGACUGCGACACCGACGGGUGGGGCAGGUACGAAAGUAGGACUUAGUGAUCCGGUGGUAUUAAGUGGGAAUGCCAUCGCUCAACGGAUAAAAGCUACCCUGGAUAACAGGCUUAUCACUCCCAAGAGUUCACAUCGACGGAGUGGUUUGGCACCUCGAUGUCGGCUCAUCGCACCCUGGGGCUGUAGUAGGUCCCAAGGGUUGGGCUGUUCGCCCAUUAAAGCGGUACGCGAGCUGGGUUCAGAACGUCGUGAGACAGUUCGGUCCCUAUCCGGCGUGGGCGUAGGAUAUUUGAGAGGAGCUGACCUUAGUACGAGAGGACCGGGUUGGACUGACCUCUGGUGCACCGGUUGUCAUGCCAAUGGCACAGCCGGGUAGCCAAGUCGGGAAGGGAUAAACGCUGAAGGCAUCUAAGCGUGAAGCCCCCCUCAAGAUGAGAUAUCCCCCGCAUAAGCGGUAAGACCCCUUGAAGACGACGAGGUAGAUAGGGCAGAGGUGGAAGUGCAGUAAUGUAUGGAGCUGACUGCUACUAAUAGGUCGAAGGCUUAACU
rnacentral:rRNA from 1 species